rnacentral:rRNA from 1 species
AUUACGGCUCAGUAACACGUGGAGAACGUGCCCUUAAGUGGGGGAUAAUCUCGGGAAAUUGAGGAUAAUACCCCAUAGGUCAUGGGAUCUGGAAUGACCCAUGGCUGAAAGUUCCGGCGCUUAAGGAUCGCUCUGCGGCCUAUCAGGUAGUAGUGGGUGUAACGUACCCCCUAGCCUACGACGGGUAUGGGCCUUGAGAGAGGGAGCCCAGAGUUGGAUUCUGAGACACGAAUCCAGGCCCUACGGGGCGCAGCAGUCGCGAAAACUUCACACUGGGGGGAACCCCGAUGAGGGAAUUCCUAGUGCUUGGGCAUUUGUCCAAGCUUUUCCCGAGCGUAGAUAACUCGGGGAAUAAGGGCUGGGUAAGACGGGUGCCAGCCGCCGCGGUAAUACCUGCAGCCCGAGUGGUGGUCGAUUUUAUUGAGUCUAAAGCGUUCGUAGCCGGUCCGUUAAAUCCUUGGGUAAAUCGGGAAGCUCAACUUUCCGACUUCCGAGGAGACUGGCGGACUUGGGACCGGGAGAGGCCAGAGGUACUUCUGGGGUAGGGGUAAAAUCCUGUAAUCCUAGAAGGACCACCGGUGGCGAAGGCGUCUGGCUAGAACGGAUCCGACGGUGAGGGACGAAGCCCUGGGUCGCAAACGGGAUUAGAUACCCCGGUAGUCCAGGGUGUAAACGCUGCCGACUUGGUGUUGGGGGCCCUUCGCGGGAACUCAGUGCCGGAGAGAAGUUGUUAAGUCGGCCACUUGGGGAGUACGUCCGCAAGGAUGAAACUUAAAGGAAUUGGCGGGGGAGCACAAUCUCCAUGCCC